rnacentral:rRNA from 1 species
GAUGAACGCUGGCGGCGUGCCUAAUACAUGCAAGUCGAGCGAACAGACGAGGAGCUUGCUCCUCUGACGUUAGCGGCGGACGGGUGAGUAACACGUGGAUAACCUACCUAUAAGACUGGGAUAACUUCGGGAAACCGGAGCUAAUACCGGAUAAUAUAUUGAACCGCAUGGUUCAAUAGUGGAAGACGGUUUUGCUGUCACUUAUAGAUGGAUCCGCGCCGCAUUAGCUAGUUGGUAAGGUAACGGCUUACCAAGGCAACGAUGCGUAGCCGACCUGAGAGGGUGAUCGGCCACACUGGAACUGAGACACGGUCCAGACUCCUACGGGAGGCAGCAGUAGGGAAUCUUCCGCAAUGGGCGAAAGCUUGACGGAGCAACGCCGCGUGAGUGAUGAAGGUCUUCGGAUCGUAAAACUCUGUUAUUAGGGAAGAACAAAUGUGUAAGUAACUAUGCACGUCUUGACGGUACCUAAUCAGAAGGCCACGGCUAACUACGUG